UACGUAGGUGGCGAGCGUUGUCCGGAAUUACUGGGUGUAAAGCGCGUGUAGGCGGGAGGCCAAGUCUGCGGUGAAAUCGCUCGGCUCAACUGGGCGGGGUCCGUGGAAACUGGUCACCUGGAGGACGGUAGAGGCGAGUGGAAUUCCCGGUGUAGUGGUGAAAUGCGUAGAUAUCGGUAGGAACACCAGUGGCGAAGGCGGUCUCCUGGGGCAUUCUUGACGCUGAGGCGCGAAAGCUGGGGGAGCGAACGGG
rnacentral:rRNA from 1 species